rnacentral:rRNA from 1 species
AUUGAACGCUGGCGGCGCGCUUAACACAUGCAAGUCGAGCGGGAAACUUCGGUUUCCAGCGGCGGACGGGUGAGUAACACGUGGGCAACCUGCCUCACAAUGAGGGAUAGCCCUCCGAAAGGAGGAUUAAUACCUCAUAACACAAGAGAAACGCAUGUUUCUCUUGCCAAAGAAUUUCGUUGUGAGAUGGGCCCGCGGCGCAUUAGCUUGUUGGUGAGGUAACGGCUCACCAAGGCUUCGAUGCGUAGCCGACCUGAGAGGGUGAUCGGCCACAUUGGAACUGAGACACGGUCCAGACUCCUACGGGAGGCAGCAGUGGGGAAUAUUGCACAAUGGAGGAAACUCUGAUGCAGCAAUGCCGCGUGGGUGAUGGAGGUCUUCGGAUUGUAAAGCUCUGUCUUCUGGGACGAUAAUGACGGUACCAGAGGAGGAAGCCACGGCUAACUACGUGCCAGCCGCCGCCGUAA